UUUAUAGCACAGGGAAACAUAUUCAAUAUCUUGUAGUAACUUAAGGUGAAAAAGAAUAUGAAAACGAAUAUAUGGAUGUUCCUGUAUGACU